UUAUUGCAUUGUCGGUGACCAAAUGAUGAUUAAAUAUGACUAGUUAUGUAAACUUUACCGAAAAAAAUAGCUUUAAAAAGUGGAGAGAGAUAAGACCAAGAAGAGAAGGUUAGCGAAGAGAACGGCGAUAAGGUGACCACACAAUUUCCCACCACCUACUUUCGCUUUGCUUUCCAACUACGCUCCAUUCGUUACUCUUUCUCUCUCUCCGAUACUCAAUCUCCCACUUUUCCUUCUCUUUUCUCUUCCCCUUCAUCCCAAGAAAAACAUUGAACUCAGCUGAGAGUUAUGGCUGAAAAAUCAAACAGCUCAGAAACAUCCGCAUCAUUUACAUAACUAGACUUACAAAAGAAGAUUCUAGGCUGACCAGAUAGCUUUCAGUUACUGCUUUAAUGGGUUCUGUGAGUAACACAAAUCCAUGGGUGGCUCCAAAUUCAGUUUUGAAGGACUGUUCCCAAGGGAUUUGCAGCAUGUAUUGUCCUCAAUGGUGCUACAUCAUGUACUCGCCUCCACCACCGUCAAUCGUUCUCGGGGACGGUUCAGAUGACGAUGAUUCUUCCUCCGGCUUCCAAUUCUCUCCCCUUAUAGUCGCAGUGAUUGGAAUCUUGGCAAGUACUUUCAUCUUGGUCACUUACUACACCGUCAUCUCAAGGUUCUGCAGGAACAGAGGAAGAGUUAACGAUCAAGCAAAUCAUAGCAAUGAUGAUACUGUUAAUAACAAUGAACCUUCUCAGGUUGCUGCGACUUCCGGCAUGGACGAGGCUCAGAUCAAAUCGAUAACCGUCUGUAAGUACAUCAAGAACGGUGGGUUGGUUGAGGGAAGUGACUGUUCCGUUUGUUUAUCAGAGUUUCAAGAGAAUGAGAGUUUGAGAUUGUUGCCCAAAUGUAACCACGCUUUUCAUCUUCCUUGUAUUGAUACUUGGCUUAAAUCACAAGCUAGUUGUCCCUUGUGCCGCUCCAAUAUUGUUUUCUGUAAUAAUAACUCCAAUCCCAGUCACUCUGACUCGGCAUUGACACAGAUUCCACAUCCACCACCGGCAACUGUCAGUGUCAAUUCCUUGGAAUAUCAGCAGAGGAGUGAUGAUGUUGUUGCAAUAAUUGUUCAGAGUUCACAGCAUCAGCAAGUUGUGGUUGAUUUUGGUAGUCAAGUCCAGGUAAAAUGGCCCAACGUUGAAAGUGCUACUAAUUUGGAUCAAAGAAGAUUAUCCGUUGCUGACAUUUUGAAUCAAAAUGAUGAAGCUGAUGUGUAGUUUUGAUUGAACUGAAGGAGAACAAAGUAAAUCUGUAAUGUGUGAAUCCAAUGGGGAAAAAAAAAAGGAGCAGUGUGGAUGCAUCUUUGUUCAUCUCAAGCCGGUAAAGAACCUAAGGUGCGCCGUCAUCGUCACCCCGCCCAAAAUGGAGACGUCGUUCUGUCGCUGUCUAACAAUGCACCUUUGCCUCACUUCUACACGUCGCAUCUCCACCUUUGCUGAACUCGCGAAACGCCGUCGCUCCGUUACCGUGCUGGAAUCUUUGUGCCGUUGCAACCUAACCGCACUGGAAUCUUUGUGCUGUCGUUACCUAACCGCGCCGAAGUCUUUGUCUUGUCGCAUCUCUGGCCCUGCUUCCAACCUGCCGUCAGAUGGUUCUUUUAUAUGAGAAGUGGAUGUUUAUUUGGUUUAUACUAUUGCUCUGUUACUUGAUUUGCUUGAUUCUGUAUGCACAUGCUUCGCAUGAUUCUUUUGUUAUGUGGUUUGGAUUUGAUUUAGUUUAAUUUUGCUUGAAUUGAAGUUGGGUUUGAGUUAAACCGUUUA